UGAGGAAUAUUGGGGCAAUGCCCGCAAGGGUGACCCAGCAACGCCGCGUGGAGGAUGAAGGCCGUAAGGUUGUAAACUCCUGUUAGAGGAGAAGAACAGUACCGAUUGGAUCGGUAUUUGACUGUACCCUCAGAGAAAGCCCCGGCUAACUACGUGCCAGCAGCCGCGGUAAUACGUAGGGGGCGAGCGUUAUCCGGAUUUACUGGGCAUAAAGAGGACGUAGGCGGCUCUUCAAGUCGGAUGUAAAAUCUCCCGGCUCAACUGGGAGGGACCAUCCGAUACUGCUGGGCUAGAGGGCAGCAGAGGAAAGCGGAAUUCCCGGUGUAGUGGUGAAAUGCGUAGAUAUCGGGAGGAACACCAGUGGCGAAGGCGGCUUUCUGGGCUGUUUCUGACGCUGAGGUCCGAAAGCGUGGGUAGCAAACAGGAUUAGAUACCCUGGUAGUCCACGCUGUAAACGAUGGACACUAGGUAUGGGGAGUAUCGACCCUCUCCGUGCCGCAGCUAAUGCGUUAAGUGUCCCGCCUGGGGACUACGGUCGCAAGACUA
rnacentral:rRNA from 1 species